rnacentral:rRNA from 1 species
AAUCAACGCUGGCGGCGUGCCUAACACAUGCAAGUCGAACGCGAAAGGGGAGCAAUCCCUGAUUAGAGUGGCAAACGGGUGAGUAACACGUGGGUGACCUGCCUUCGAGUGGGGGAUAACCUUCCGAAAGGAGGGCUAAUACCGCAUGACAUACCGUGUUUGGAUACACGGAUAUCAAAGCCGGGGAUCGCAAGACCUGGCGCUUGGAGAGGGGCCCGCGUCCGAUUAGCUAGNGGUGGGGUAACGGCUCACCAAGGCUCCGAUCGGUAUCCGGCCUGAGAGGGCGGACGGACACACUGGAACUGAGACACGGUCCAGACUCCUACGGGAGGCAGCAGUGGGGAAUUGUUCGCAAUGGGCGAAAGCCUGACGACGCAACGCCGCGUGGAGGAUGAAGAAUUUCGGUUCGUAAACUCCUUUUCGACCGAGAUGAAUACUCAUGGACCUAACACGUCCGUGAGCUGACAGUAUCG